AAAAGCUUGGCCGACUGAGAUUGCUAGUCGUGUCAGGGCGGGUGCGGGACUGAAGAAGGGCGAGGGCGAGCGGCGGGGACUGGGGAAGGGCGAGCAGCGGGAGGCACGGGCUCUCUCUAGCAGGUGGCUGCAGCCAUGGAGAGGCUCUGUGCCGCCGCUGUCAAGGGCCAGACGGGCCCAGAGCGCCCAAGCCCCUUCAGUCAGCUGGUCUACACCAACAACGACUCUUACGUGAUUCACCAUGGGGAUCUCAGGAAGAUCCACAAAGCUGCCUCCCGGGCCAAGCCUGGAAGCUGGAGAGGAUGAUGAAGAAGACGACAAUGGACCUGAACAUAAGAGAUGCGAAGAAGAGGACUGCUCUACACUGGGCCUGUGCCAAUGGCCAUGCAGAAGUAGUAACACUUCUGGUAGAUAGAAAGUGCCAGCUUGACGUCCUUGAUGGCGAAAACAGGACAACUCUGAUGAAGGCUCUGCAAUGCCAGAGGGAGGCUUGUGCAAAUAUUCUCAUAGAUUCUGGUGCUGAUCCAAAUAUUGUAGAUGUGUAUGGCAACACAGCUGUCCAUUAUGCUGUUAACAGUGAGAAUUUGUCAGUGGUGGCAAAAUUGCUGUCCUGUGGUACAGACAUUAAAGUGAAGAACAAGGCUGGCCACACACCACUUUUAUUGGCCAUAAGGAAAAGAAGUGAGCAAAUUGUGGAAUUUUUACUGACAAAAAAAUGCAAAUGCAAAUGGAGUUGAUAAGUUUAAAUGGUAU
rnacentral:lncRNA from 1 species